rnacentral:rRNA from 1 species
CUACGUGCCAGCAGCCGCGGUAAUACGGAGGAUGCGAGCGUUAUCCGGAUUUAUUGGGUUUAAAGGGUGCGUAGGUUGUUCGGUAAGUCAGCGGUGAAACCUGAGCGCUCAACGUUCAGCCUGCCGUUGAAACUGGCGGACUUGAGUGCACGCAACGUAUGCGGAAUUCAUGGUGUAGCGGUGAAAUGCUUAGAUAUCAUGACGAACUCCGAUUGCGAAGGCAGCGUACGGGAGUGUUACUGACGCUUAAGCUCGAAGGUGCGGGUAUCGAACAGGAUUAGAUACCCUGGUAGUCCGCACGGUAAACGAUGGAUGCCCGCUGUUAGCGCCUGGCGUUAGCGGCUAAGCGAAAGCAUUAAGCAUCCCACCUGGGGAGUACGCCGGCAACGGUGAAACUCAAAGGAAUUGACGGGGGCCCGCACAAGCGGAGGAACAUGUGGUUUAAUUCGAUGAUACGCGAGGAACCUUACCCGGGCUUGAAUUGCAGACGCAGGAUACAGAGAU